rnacentral:lncRNA from 10 species
CAUCUAACUAUUAUAAUUAUGACAGAAAAAUAUUUAAAUCAUGACCUGUUUUGAAUGUGCAACAAUCUUUCUUCUUUUAUCCAUUAGGAAUUUUUCUCUUUCAUCUUUUUUAUUUGGAAUGAAAUAGAUUUGUAUUUGAGAUCUGGAAAAAAAAAACUCUAAUAUUUAUAUUUGGCUUAGCUAUUAUAACUCAUCUAUUUACUUCCUGGGAUAUCUGUAAUGAUUUGUGUUUAAAUUUUCACUUUACGAUAACUAAUUAGGACACCUAGAUCACCAUUUAAAAAAUACAAACAACCACUUCCAGUAGUCAAAAGGGGCUAUUUUUAAACGGACAAAAUCCAUCACAAAACAGUAUCAAAGCUAAGUUUUAUCAUAGAAGUAUGGACUCAUUAAAUAAUUAGGCAGACAGAUGGGCUAGCUAUUAUACUUAGAACUUGGCCCAAAUUCUAAUGAGUAAUGAAACUUGUUCAUUAAGCCAUAAGCAAGGUGACAUGACUGUUAACAUAAAUCUUUGAUGCACUGAUCUGAUUCCUUUCUAAAGACAUUUACUUAGAGUAGAGUUUAUUGUGUUUAAAUUGUUACUUAAAUGAUAUUUUAAAGUUCUUUAUUUUUAUUUUCAUGAUAUAGAAAAUGUAUGAAACCAAUAUUAAAUUCAAUUACUAAGGAUAAAAAUUGUAUUAAUGGGUUCCAGUUUCACUCCCUAAGUAAGAAAAUAGGAUUCAUAUCUAUUAAUUUCCCACUAACAUGUAGCUCUCCAGAAUAACUACUUGAAAUGUAUUCCUAGGAUGCAAACAUUUUUAUUAUUUUACUAUUCACUGGAUUCAUUAUUCAAAAAAUUAUGAGCAAUAGUACAAACAAUUUAUACUACACGAUAAAUGAUGUAUUCUAUGAAAUUCAAACGUUUUCAGAGUCAAUAUAAUCACAACAUACUUUUUUUGGAUUCAUGUGUUCAUUCACAGUUUGCUUUUAACUACUUCACAGAGAUGGGAGUUUACACAUUACAAUGAGGAUUUAUUGAUUUAUUGGUUACAGAGUAUAAUAAGCAUUCUCAGUAAACUGGAAAAGAUAGCUCUGAGGCUAGUAUCAUACAAUAGUAAGUUGCAGCAUACUUCAGAGCAAAAUCAGAAGGUUGGCAUAAGAGAACGAUAUAUGGUGUAAACUAGACUAGCAAAGACUAAUAUUUAGUAAGUCCACUAACACAAACAAAUUAGGUUUUUAAGUUGUACACUUUGUCCACGAUGGGAAAAAUAUUUACUUAGUAUUUUAUGUUAUAUGGUAAACUAUUCUAUAACAAACUAUUAAAUUUCCUUUUUGGGAAAACGUUUUCUUAUUUGAAGAUGCGUAAAGUAACACUUAACAUUAAUAUGAUGUAACACAUACUUUUUCUAGCAAACAAGUCCUUUCAAUACUGUAUCUGAAUUUAGCUAACUCAGAUAAUUUGACUUUUGCAUGUAUUUGUGGGGUGUGUUUUGUUAAUAAAUAAUAAAAGUAUUUAAAAAUGUUUUUUAGUAUUUCAAAAUAAAUACUUUUAAACAAUAAAAUGUGUUAAAUUGAUGAGAGUAAAAGGGUUGAGCAAAAACUACACAAUGAAAUUCUCUAAAGCAUCAUGUAAAAAUUUUGUAAUUUAAAAAUGUAAAGAUCAUGUAGCCAAAGGUGGUAAUGUUCUCUGCUCUGUUUUAUUUUUGAAGCCAAAGAAAAAAAAAAUAUAUAUAUAUAUAUAUUUUUUUUUCUUUAGAUAAAGUCUUGGUCUGUCACCCAGGCUGGAAUGCAGUGGCAUGAUCUCGGCUCACUGCAACCUCUGCCUUCUGGGUUCAAGCAACUAAGAAUAACAUUUUUAUUAAACUUUUUUUGCUUUUUAAAAUGGAAUAGUUUGAGGACUUCUGAGAGCCCACAAAUGAGCAAAGUGGAGUACUGGAAGAGAUCCGCAGAAUAGUUCAUGACUCAAUCAGCUGACUGAGUUGUUUAUCAUUCAGCUGAAGAGAACUGGCCAACAUGUUGUUUUAGAGCGUAAUUUUUUUCUUUGGUAGUUGUAACUUGUUUAAUUUCCAUCGCUAAUAGCCAUUGAAGAAGUAAAGCAAGCAGAAAGUAUAUGGAUGUUGAAAUACAAAUUAAUGAGGAGCAUAAAAAUAAAUCUGUAAAUUCACCUCAGGAUUCUCUUCACGAGAUCUAUAAAUUGUGUUCAUUUGAUCACACUACUCACAUUACCUAUUAUGUAGCUGCUUCUUAAAAAAUGAAGUUAAAGAGAGAACAAAUUAGAAUAAUAAUACUCAAUUUAGUUUUUCAUAUACUGGCAUAAAGGCCAAAACACCCACAAUGUGCUAUUUGUGAAAAUAUUCUAGAAAACAGAGGCUCUAUUGUUUUAUUUUAAAAGUAAAUGUGGCUGGGCGCAGUGGCUCACACCUAUAAUCCCAGCACUUUGGGAGACUGAGGCGGGUGGAUCACCUGAGGUCAGGAGUUCAAGACCAGCCAGGCCAACAUGGUGAAACCUUGUCUCUACUAAAAAUACAAAAAUUAGCCAGGCGUGGUGGCUGGUGUCUGUAAUCCCAGCUACUCUGAAGGCUGAGGCAGGAGAAUCACUUGAACCUGGGAGGUGGAGGUCACAGUGAGCCGAGAUCUUGCCAUUGCAUUUCAGCCUGGGUGACAGAGCAACACUCCGC